rnacentral:rRNA from 1 species
UACGUAGGGUGCGAGCGUUGUCCGGAAUUACUGGGCGUAAAGGGCUCGUAGGUGGCCAACUAAGUCAGACGUGAAAUCCCUCGGCUUAACCGGGGAACUGCGUCUGAUACUGGAUGGCUUGAGUUCGGGAGAGGGAUGCGGAAUUCCAGGUGUAGCGGUGAAAUGCGUAGAUAUCUGGAGGAACACCGGUGGCGAAGGCGGCAUCCUGGACCGACACUGACACUGAGGAGCGAAAGCCAGGGGAGCAGACGGG